CUACGGGAGGCUCCAGUUAAGAAUAAUCUACAAUGCACGCAAGUGUGAUAGUUUGAGCCAGAGUGAUUUCCAAUUGGAAAUCUUUUGCUAAAUGUAAAAGGUUUGGCGAAUAAGGACUGGGUAAGACGAGUGCCAGCCGCCGCGGUAAUACUCGCGGUCCAAGUCGCAGCCAUUUUUAUUGGGUCUAAAACAUCCGUAGCUUGCUUUGUAAGUUUCUUGUGAAAUUCCAUAUCUCAAAUAUGGAGCGUGCAAGAAAUACUGCAGAGCUAGAGACUGGAAGACGUAAGAAGUAUGUUUGAAGUAGCGGUAAAAUGUGUUAAUCUCAAGCAGACUCACGAGAGCGAAGGCAUCUUACGAGGACAGUUCUGACAGUAAGGGAUGAAGGCUAGGGGCGCAAAACGGAUUAGAUACCCCUGUAGUC
rnacentral:rRNA from 1 species